UUUUGUUCUUUUAGAGAAGUUUUAUUGCUUUCAAUGGUUUAGAUUUACUUCUGUAGUUAAUGUUUUUCAUGACUUUAACAAAACUCAACAGUUCCAAAAUUGCUAGUAUUUUUAAAAAAAUUACUUUUACAAUACAAGGUGCCGCGCGUUCAUGGAAACAGCUGCCUGAUGCGCGUAACGGCGCAGGAUGAUUUUAAAGUCUUGGCGUACAUCCAAAAUUUAGUUUACUAAUGAAAGACCAUAGACAUAAAUAAAUAUAGACUG